GUUAGGAAUAUUGGACAAUGGGCGAAAGCCUGAUCCAGCCAUGCCGCGUGAACGAUGAAGGCCUUCGGGUUGUAAAGUUCUUUAGCCGAUGAUUAUAAUGACUGUAGUCGGAAAAUAAGCCCCGGCUAACUUCGUGCCAGCAGCCGCGGUAAUACGAAGGGGGCGAGCGUUAUUCGGAAUCACUGGGCGUAAAGCGUGCGUAGGCGGUUUUGUAAGUUAGGAGUGAAAGCCCAGGGCUCAACCUUGGAAUUGCUCUUAAAACUGCAAGGCUCGAAGCUCGGAGAGGAUAGCGGAAUUUCCAGUGUAGCAGUGAAAUGCGUAGAUAUUGGAAGGAACACCAGUGGCGUAAGCGGCUAUCUGGACGAGUAUUGACGCUGAGGCACGAAAGCGUGGGGAUCAAACAGGAUUAGAAACCCGUGUAGUCC
rnacentral:rRNA from 1 species